UACGUAGGGGGCAAGCGUUGUCCGGAUUUAUUGGGCGUAAAGAGCGUGUAGGCGGCCUGGUAGGUCAGCUGUGAAAACUCGAGGCUCAACCUCGAGACGUCGGUUGAAACCACCUGGCUAGAGUCCGGAAGAGGAGAGUGGAAUUCCCGGUGUAGCGGUGAAAUGCGCAGAUAUCAGGAAGAACACCCGUGGCGAAGGCGGCUCUCCGGGACGGUACUGACGCUGAGACGCGAAAGCGUGGGGAGCGAACAGG
rnacentral:rRNA from 1 species